UACAGAGGUUUCAAGCGUUGUUCGGAUUCAUUGGGCGUAAAGGGUGCGUAGGCGGCGCGGUAAGUCGGGUGUGAAAUCUCGGGGCUUAACUCCGAAACUGCAUUCGAUACUACCGUGCUUGAGGACUGGAGAGGAGACUGGAAUUUACGGUGUAGCGGUGAAAUGCGUAGAUAUCGUAAGGAAGACCAGUGGCGAAGGCGGGUCUCUGGACAGUUCCUGACGCUGAGGCACGAAGGUCAGGGGAGCAAACGGG
rnacentral:rRNA from 1 species